AGGUAGUGACAAGAAAUAACAAUACAGGGCGAAUGUCUUGUAAUUGGAAUGAUGGUGACCCAAACCCUCACCAGAGUAGCAAUUGGAGGGCAAGUCUGGUGCCAGCAGCCGCGGUAAUUCCAGCUCCAAUAGCGUAUAUUAAACUUGUUGCAGUUAAAAAGCUCGUAGUUGUAUUUUUGCGUUAACGGUUUGACCAUUUGGUUGGUUAUUUCGUUUUCGCUUUUGGGAAUUUCCCUUUUUACUUUGAGAAAAUUAGAGUGUUUCAAGCAGACUUUUGUCUUGAAUACUUCAGCAUGGAAUAAUAGAGUAGGACUUUGGU
rnacentral:rRNA from 1 species